ACAUACAAAGAAAAGGACAAAGAAUGUCCAUUCUCUAUUGAGCAAAUGGCCAAAGAGUGCUGAUGGGAGUCAGAAGUGCUGCCGGCUGAUGCUAAAUAUUAGAAUUUCUCUAACACCAAUGAUACUUUUGGACGAAGUUGCCUGCAUCUUGUUGUAUAGUGGGCCAAUAGUAGUCCUACCGAAGAAUCUUGUAAGACAGAGAUCUACCCCCCAAGUGACUACCAUAGAUUCCUUUGUGAACUUUUUGUAGUGAAUAAUUGACCUUGAAUGAGUGCAAGCACUUCAGAAGAGGUAGAAAAAAAUGACUGCUUGUACAACUUGUCAUCAUACAGAAUAUAGCGGGCGGCCUGUAUCCUUAUCUUUCGGA
rnacentral:lncRNA from 1 species